rnacentral:rRNA from 1 species
ACUCCUACGGGAGGCAGCAGUGGGGAAUAUUGCACAAUGGGGGAAACCCUGAUGCAGCCAUGCCGCGUGUGUGAAGAAGGCCUUCGGGUUGUAAAGCACUUUCUAGUAGGGAGGGAAGGUAGUGUAGUUAACACCUGCACUAUUUGACGUUACCUACAGAAGAAGCACCGGCUAACUCCGUGCCAGCAGCCGCGGUAAUACGGAGGGUGCGAGCGUUAAUCGGAAUUACUGGGCGUAAAGCGCAUGCAGGCGGCCUGUUAAGUCAGAUGUGAAAGCCCGGGGCUUAACCUCGGAAUUGCAUUUGAAACUGGCAGGCUAGAGUCUUGUAGAGGGGGGUAGAAUUUCAGGUGUAGCGGUGAAAUGCGUAGAGAUCUGAAGGAAUACCAGUGGCGAAGGCGGCCCCCUGGACAAAGACUGACGCUCAGAUGCGAAAGCGUGGGGAGCAAACAGGAUUAGAUACCCU